UUCGACACUGUCUGUGUGGGUGGAGCCAUGAUAUCACAUUAUACAUCACUGAUGAGAAUCUGAAAAAUCUUAUAUAGUGUUAGUUCAGUCUGUAGCCUCGUCAUCAAGAAUCAACAUGAUCCGAAUUAUAAUAGUGUUUCAGUCACUCUAUUGGAUUCAAGGAGUUGCAGGGGGGGAUGAUGUCUCUCAGCCCAACCUAAUCUCAGCUAAAAUGGGCCAGUCAGCCACAAUAAACUGCUCACACACCAAGGGUUCAACUUAUUAUCUGAUGUACUGGUUCCGUCAGUAUCAUGGAGAGAGUAUGGAGCUCAUAGUGCUCACUAAUGCCUUUGGCACUCCGGACUUUGGAAAGUUCAACGAAAGUAAAUUCUCAGCCAUUAAAACAGUUCCUGAGAGCGGCUCCUUCACAGUGAAAGAUGUGGAUUAUAAUGACAGAGCUGUGUAUUUCUGUGCCGUGAGAGAACACAGUGUUAUAACCACAUGGCAGAGCUGUACAAAAACACACCGUGUGUCUCAGUCAGGAAGAAAUGGAGACAUCCAAAGAGGUGUUGUAUGACACGACAAAUCUGGAGCUUCUUAUUAAUUGUGAAACACUCUUUGCAUGAAUUAUACAGAGUUUGAUUGACACUUUUGGACUUUACAGCAAAUAAUAUAAACAUGGCCUGUGUAGUAGAAGUAAUGCCAGUAGCACUUUACUUAAAUCCUGGUGCCUAACAGACAUAGCCAUGUCAUACAGUAAAUAUGUGAAGCAUGACUUCAUAUGAAAGUUGUUGUCCAGUAAUAUAACAGUGUUAUGUUACUGUUAAGUGUAAUUGUCUUGACAGGCAUCUCUUAAAAUUAUAGCUUCACCUCUGAUGUUACAAAGCCUAGUCUAGUAACA